UCCCUAGGGAGGAAAAGUACAACUUUGCUCCCUACAAUCAGGUCCGGAAAAGUAUACUUUCGGUAGAGGUAGGUGGAAAAUAUAGUUUCUCGUACCUACCUGUAAAGAGAUUGGAAAUGAAAACCGUAUUGAGAUUGAAUUCAUUAAAGCUUUUAUUCGCCAGAACGAAUACAUUAAAAAAAUAAAAUUAGCAUAUAUAGAAUAUAAUUAAAUAAACCAACGUACGGAGGUAAUGUACAUAAAUAAAAUUUUGAUUAGACUGCAUACAACAGUUAUUAAACUAGUCAUCAUCGGAAGUUACGAAAAGGUCUUUCCUUCUAGGAAUUUGCACUAUAUUUUUAUUAAUUGUAUUCUAAUGUAUUAACUUACAAUGCAUUCUGUAUCACAGAAAAUAUAUUUUCUCAUACCUACUUGUAAAGAGAUUGGAAAUGAAAACUGUAUUGAGAUUGAAUUGAUUAAAGCUUUUAUUCACUGGAACGAAUACAUUAAAAAAAUAAAAUUAGCAUAUAUAGAAUAUAAUUAAAUAAAACAAGGUAUGGAGGUAAUGUACAUAAAUAGGAUUUUGAUUAGACUACAUACAACAGUUAUUAAACUAGUCAUCAUCGGAAGUUACGAAAAGGUCUUUCUCUUCUACGAAAUUUGCUAUAUUUUUAUUAAUUGCAUUCUAAUGUAUUAACGUACAAUGCAUUCUGUAAUCACAGAAAAUAUAGUUUCUCGUGCCUACCUGUAAAGAGAUUGGAAAUGAAAACCGUAUUGAGAUUGAAUUGAUUAAAGCUGUUAUUCACUGGAACGAAUACAUUAAAAAA
rnacentral:lncRNA from 1 species